GUAACAAGGUUUCCGUAGGUGAACCUGCGGAAGGAUCAUUAACGCGCAGGCCGGAGGCUGGCCCCCCACGAUAGGGAUCAGCGUUCCAUCAGGGGUGUGCAGAUGUGCGCCGGCCUUACGCCCCAUUCUUGUCUACCUUACUCGGUUGCCUCGGCGGGCCGCGCUCUCCCCGGAGAGUCGUCCGGCGAGCCUCUUCGGGGGCUUUAGCUGGAUCGCGCCCGCCGGAGGACAGACAUCAAAAAAUCUUGAAGAGCUGUCAGUCUGAGCGUUAGCAAGCAAAAUCAGUUAAAACUUUCAACAACGGAUCUCUUGGUUCCGGCAUCGAUGAAGAACGCAGCGAAAUGCGAUAAGUAAUGUGAAUUGCAGAAUUCCGUGAAUCAUCGAAUCUUUGAACGCACAUUGCGCCCUCUGGUAUUCCGGGGGGCAUGCCUGUUCGAGCGUCAUUUCAACCCCUCAAGCUCGGCUUGUGUGAUGGACGACCGUCCGGCCCCCUCUUUCGGGGGCGGGACGCGCCCGAAAAGCAGUGGCCAGGCCGCGAUUCCGGCUUCCUGGGCGAAUGGGCAAUCAAACCAGCGCCCUCAGGACCGGCCGCUCUGGCCUUCCCCCAAAUCUCUCUGAGAUUUUUUUCAGGUUGACCUCGGAUCAGGUAGGGAUACCCGCUGAACUUAAGCAUAUCAAUAAGCGGAGGAAAAGAAACCAACAGGGAUUGCCCCAGUAACGGCGAGUGAAGCGGCAGGAGCUCAAAUUUGAAAUCUGACCUCCUCCGGGGGUCCGAGUUGUAAUUUGCAGAGGAUGCUUCGGGUGCGGCCCCCGUCUAAGUUCCUUGGAACAGGACGUCAGAGAGGGUGAGAAUCCCGUCUUGGGCGGGCGGCCCGCGCCCGUGUGAAGAUCCUUCGACGAGUCGAGUUGUUUGGGAAUGCAGCUCUAAGCGGGUGGUAAAUUUCAUCUAAAGCUAAAUACUGGCCGGAGACCGAUAGCGCACAAGUAGAGUGAUCGAAAGGUUAAAAGCACCUUG
rnacentral:sRNA from 1 species